rnacentral:rRNA from 1 species
UACGUAGGGUGCAAGCGUUGUCCGGAAUUAUUGGGCGUAAAGAGCUCGUAGGCGGUUUGUCGCGUCUGCUGUGAAAACCCGAGGCUCAACCUCGGGCCUGCAGUGGGUACGGGCAGACUAGAGUGCGGUAGGGGAGAUUGGAAUUCCUGGUGUAGCGGUGAAAUGCGCAGAUAUCAGGAGGAACACCGGUGGCGAAGGCGGAUCUCUGGGCCGAUACUGACGCUGAGGCGCGACAGCGUGGGGAGCAAACAGG